rnacentral:rRNA from 1 species
AUUGAACGCUGGCGGCAUGCCUUACACAUGCAAGUCGAACGGUAGCAGGUCUUCGGAUGCUGACGAGUGGCGAACGGGUGAGUAAUACAUCGGAACGUGCCCGAUCGUGGGGGAUAACGAAGCGAAAGCUUUGCUAAUACCGCAUAAGAUCUAAGGAUGAAAGCAGGGGACCGCAAGGCCUUGCGCGAACGGAGCGGCCGAUGGCAGAUUAGGUAGUUGGUGAGAUAAAAGCUUACCAAGCCGACGAUCUGUAGCUGGUCUGAGAGGACGACCAGCCACACUGGGACUGAGACACGGCCCAGACUCCUACGGGAGGCAGCAGUGGGGAAUUUUGGACAAUGGGCGCAAGCCUGAUCCAGCCAUGCCGCGUGCAGGAUGAAGGCCUUCGGGUUGUAAACUGCUUUUGUACGGAACGAAAAGACUCUGGUUAAUACCUGGGGUCCAUGACGGUACCGUAAGAAUAAGCACCGGCUAACUACGUGCCAGCAGCCGCAGUAACAC